UGGUGCAACGGUAGCAUCUGAGUCUUCCAAACUCGCGAUACGGGUUCAAAUCCUGU
rnacentral:tRNA from 1 species